rnacentral:rRNA from 1 species
UGCUACUUUUGCCGGCGAGCGGCGGACGGGUGAGUAAUGCCUGGGAAAUUGCCCAGUCGAGGGGGAUAACAGUUGGAAACGACUGCUAAUACCGCAUACGCCCUACGGGGGAAAGCAGGGGACCUUCGGGCCUUGCGCGAUUGGAUAUGCCCAGGUGGGAUUAGCUAGUUGGUGAGGUAAUGGCUCACCAAGGCGACGAUCCCUAGCUGGUCUGAGAGGAUGAUCAGCCACACUGGAACUGAGACACGGUCCAGACUCCUACGGGAGGCAGCAGUGGGGAAUAUUGCACAAUGGGGGAAACCCUGAUGCAGCCAUGCCGCGUGUGUGAAGAAGGCCUUCGGGUUGUAAAGCACUUUCAGCGAGGAGGAAAGGUCGUUGGCUAAUAUCUGCUGGCUGUGACGUUACUCGCAGAAGAAGCACCGGCUAACUCCGUGCCAGCAG